rnacentral:rRNA from 1 species
AGGACGAACGCUGGCGGCGUGCUUAACACAUGCAAGUCGAGCGGAAAGGCCUUUCGGGGUACUCGAGCGGCGAACGGGUGAGUAACACGUGAGUAAUCUGCCCAUCGCUUCAGGAUAGCCAUCGGAAACGGUGAUUAAUACUGGAUAUGACAUUCCUCCGCAUGUUGGGGGUGUGGAAAGUUUUCGUUCGGUGGU